rnacentral:rRNA from 1 species
UACAUACAUGAAAUAAAAAUAAACAACUGUCAUAGAGAUAAGGAUUACAGAGUCAACCAUAAGAGGCGCCAAUUAAAAGCAGGGUGGUGAAAGCAGGUUAAAAAAAGCGACCAAAAAAAGCAGGGGAGGAGUGGGGUGCGUGCGUCGGUUUUUUGUGGGGCGUUUUUUGGCGAGGAUAGCUAGGCAGCUCCUGUGUCUCGGCGGCUAGGCGAGGAGGGGCUACGGCUAGGCCCGUCUGCGCGGGCAGCACCUAGUGCUCGCGGGCAGCGCCUAGUCCUAGGAGUCCUGCGGCGGCGGCGGCGCCUAGGUGACGGUGCGUGUCGAGCCCGGGCUCGGCGCUACCCGAGCCGAUACCGGCGACGGCGCACGCGGGAAGCAGAGGUCCGAGCCGCUCGGGGUGGCGGUCGGUGGGGGUUGGGUGUAGCCGCAGUUCGAUAGAGGAACCACGACAACAGGAGCUAUCCGAUUACUGAGCUCCGUACGACGAUCGUGUUAAUGUCUUCCGGUAUGUCAGUCGCCGUUUCACGAGCGGCAACGAUUACUAACUGACGACUCCUAGAGGUAAGCCCCUAAAUCGAUGGACGAGUUUAUUCUACCAGUUAUCGACAAGGACACUAGGUAAGAUACCUACUUCUUCCUCUUCUGCUCCCUUGUGUUAUUAAAGACACAGUAUAAUAAACAAAGACUACACCGAUGAGACCUUAUGUUAAAUACCCGCUCUCUAGUCUGAAAGUCCAACCCACGCCAUAAUAUAGAGUAGUCUAAGUCAUUGGUCGCACCUUAAUUAAAAUUAAAACAAGAAGUAGUCUAUUCAUCUCGGUACGAAAUGGGGUUAGAAGUAAAAUACUUAGAGUUGAAGUUUUUAGUACUAUCAACGUGACAUAAAACAACUCAGGUUGUAUUUCGACUCUCGUCUCAUGGAUGAAACAGAACCAUAUAGUCUUAUUAUUCCUUAGAUACUCUAAUCUAUUCGGUUUAUCAACCAUGAACGACUCCGAUGUUUUAAUAGAAUUAACAAGGUAAAUCAUCAAGUGACUUAUAAUUUGUUACGACAAAGAAGGUGACCCCUCAACAAAAUACAUCGGGCUUGUUGUUUGUCGGAUACUUGAAGAUUUGGUUAAGAAAAAAAAUCAUCCUGGAAUACGAGAAAAUUGACUUUUUGACCCUCGUGAUCGUCAAGAAGUGUUCCUUUCACCUAACCUGUUACGGCGAUCGAGCCUACCGCGGGGCAUACCUACAGCUAGCACCCGCUGCACUCCUCCCUGUUCCAUCUCUUUCCCCCAGUCCAACCGCGGCGACAUCUCCACUCGUUCCCCCGGCCCCAACGCAGCGGCGGCUCUACGUGCUCCCCUAGCCUCGACGCGGUUCGUCUAAGUAGUCUCGUGAAGCGAGAACGACGGAAACCGGACUACGAAUCUACCUAACUACGUAAACAGCCCAGUCCCUAGGAAGUCAAAACAACCUAGUCCUUCAUUCUCGUGGCCCUGAAGUUCCUGCUACCUCUAACAGCUUCCGAUUCAACGUCUCACGUACCCGUCGUCAUGGUCUCGUUCUUGGAGCGCGCACUGCCUCGACGACACCAUCUCUUCGUUUUGAGUUGCUGAUUGAGAUGUUCGAGACCAGCGAAAGAAUUUGUAGUGAUUGCCAAUAUACAGAAGACUAGUAGAACUACCGUAUAUACUCCUGGACGUUAUGACUUGGACCUUCAAUCAGUAACUCCGUUACCAGUACCAUCACUAUAGAUGACGGUCUUGUAUUUGCAAACCGGGAGGAACAACGGUGCUUCCUAAUACUAGUUGACCUGAACGUCUUGAUCAAUUACCGUACUACGACCGUCAUCAUUACCUCCCAACACUAAAGACCUACCUUAUCCUGCCUAACCGAAGGAGAAGAGUACUUUGUGUGACUGUGUUUCAAAGACCAAAGACUGCAUGUUCCUAAUACAUGAUACUUGUUUAUAACGUUACAAGUAAUCAUCAUGACAAACAACUUCGCUACGGAGACGGUGUCCGCGCUGCUCCUUCCACCCCUGUGCGGUACCGUCUCCGGUCACGUCUUGGAUGUACAUUCGGCACCCCAGUCCCAUAAGAACGACCGUGUUGGCGACCAUCUCCGCGCACCAACUGUCCUCCUCGGCGCCUCCGUACUGCCACCUGUACACCUACAAUAGCACCGUAACUGUGUAAAGCGAGAUGGUUGUGACGUAUGUUUGCACUGACUUACAAUAGCACCGAAUCUACGGGAUAGUUUAAGAACGAACUGAAGAACCAAAACAUACGAACCUACAUACAAAGUCAAGGAUGUACCAUAAAGAGUACACCUCAACUUUGGUGUAAACCAACCAGGUUAUCGUUUAUUAGUAUACAAAGUGAGACUUUAGUAUCACGUAUAUCACUA